UGGGGAAUUUUGGACAAUGGGCGAAAGCCUGAUCCAGCAAUGCCGCGUGUGUGAAGAAGGCCUUCGGGUUGUAAAGCACUUUUGUCCGGAAAGAAAUCCUUGGCUCUAAUACAGUCGGGGGAUGACGGUACCGGAAGAAUAAGCACCGGCCAACUACGUGCCAGCAGCCGCGGUAAUACGUAGGGUGCAAGCGUUAAUCGGAAUUACUGGGCGUAAAGCGUGCGCAGGCGGUUUGCUAAGACCGAUGUGAAAUCCCCGGGCUCAACCUGGGAACUGCAUUGGUGACUGGCAGGCUAGAGUAUGGCAGAGGGGGGUAGAAUUCCACGUGUAGCAGUGAAAUGCGUAGAGAUGUGGAGGAAUACCGAUGGCGAAGGCAGCCCCCUGGGCCAAUACUGACGCUCAUGCACGAAAGCGUGGGGAGCAAACAGGAUUAGAUACCCUGGUAGUCCACGCCCUAAACGAUGUCAACUAGUUGUUGGGGAUUCAUUUCCUUAGUAACGUAGCUAACGCGUGAAGUUGACCGCCUGGGGAGUACGGUCGCAAGAUUAAAACUCAAAUGAAUUGACGGGG
rnacentral:rRNA from 1 species